AUGUAUGCCGUCGGAAAGGUCUUGUACAGUGUCGCUGGUCCAUUCCACCCAUUUGGCGGUGCGGUUGACAUAGUUGUUGUGCAGCAGCAGGAUGGCAGCUUCAAGAGCUCGCCGUGGUAUGUGCGAUUUGGCAAGUUCCAGGGGGUUCUCAAGACAAGAGAGAAGGUGGUAAACAUUGCUGUGAAUGGUGUUGAAGCCGGGUUUCACAUGUACUUGGAUAGCAAUGGUGAGGCUCACUUUCUCAGGGAUGCAGACUCAAUUACUGCGGAAGGGGAUUUUGUUGUGUCCACUUCAUCUUUGGGGGGGAAUGAACGGGAGGUGCUGAUGCAGGAUGCACAGUUAAGGAAGUCCAAGAGCACUUCUUGUGAUAUCUCAACCAUGGAGGCCUGUGCUGGGGAUGGGAAGAUGCCUGUGAGGACAGUCUCAAGACAGAGCACCAUACUUGAGCGGAUGUUUGGACGGAAACCAAAUAAGGACAAUGCCCCUGCUGUGGAUAGUGUGGGCUCAUUAGAGCGUGCGGAGAUUGCAGCCGAACUCCUUGAUACAAAGUGGUUGACAAAUCUCUCGCAUGGUUCGGAAGCUCCUAGUUCUGAUCAUGAACCUUCCAGUAGUCAUCUGAGAGAUGCUGGCAACAGUAAUCAAGGGGAAACCACAAAAAUGGUAUUGCCAGAUUGUAGCUUGGAUCAUGACAAAGCAAUGGGCUCUAAUUGUGACAAUGUUAACAGCACUGUUGGUAGCCCACAUGGAGGAAGCAGGAGUUCAGGAGAUGAAAAGGCGCACUGUAUACAAACCACUAGUGUCGAGGAGGAGAUUGUUGCCAUUUAUGCGCAUAAGACUGAUGGGAUCAUGUCAACUAUAGACCGGCCAGGAUCGGAAUAUCUGUCAAAUGAUUUGGAUACAGGUAAAAGUAUCAAUGAGUCUGUUGAUACUCAAGGUGAGUUGCAGGGUAAUCUUGAAGAUGUUACAGUAAGGGAAAUGCACACGGAGGUUUUUUCCAACAGUAUUUUUGAAAUUCAUGCAAUUGAAACAGGCAUUACUGAUUGUAAAAGUGAAGUGGUUUCACAGUUGGUUGCUGUUGAUUCCGACAAGUUCAACCAAAAUUUUACUGAAGCAAAUUCCCCAACUUUUAGCACAACCACAUAUUUAUCAAGUGAAACGCAUGAUGGUUCAUCGAUUGCUUGUGGUCAUGAGGCAUGCCAAGAGAAAGUGGUCAUUAUAAGUACCUCGGAGACUCUGGAGAGCUCAUAUGAUGUGUCCAAUAUUUUGGCUGAUGAAGUUCAUCAUGCUGAAUGUAACUCAUUGGCUGAUGGUCUACAGUUUGAAGAGUGUUCCAGAGUCUCCAGUGGAAAAUUGGAACAGGAAGAUGUCAAGGAAAAGCCACUGUCAAAUCAUAGUUCUAGCAAUAAAGAAGACUUGUAUAACUUGGGUGUUCCAGAAGUUUCUGUUUUUGAUGACUCUAGUUCUCAAACCUUCCAAGCUAAUCUUCCUGAUAAGGAUAUUUCUGUCAGUACUCUUGUCAAUGAUCACAUGGAUAUUUCUGCGGACACUGUUGCAAAUGAUCAUAAUACCAGCUCAUCUCAUGAUUUAGCUUGUCAGCAUGGUCUAAUAUUUCCUGAUGCUUCUCCUGGUGGUAUAGAUAUAUUGAGUUAUGUGCAUGAAAAUGAUUCUGACGAUGUAGCAAAGGAUUCCACGGUGAAUACUGAAACAUGCUAUGGGGAACAUGAUGUUUCUUUCAAUCAGACACCAAAAAUUCAAUGUGUGACAGGAGAGUGCAUUGCCCAAACACCUGAUGUCCCUAAUAAAGUGGAAGGUGAAGUUUCAUCAAUUAUUUUUGAUUUUUCCAGUUUGAGCAAAGUCGACACAGAAAAUAGCAAGCUAGAAUAUGAUGAGAACCGAUCUGGUUCUGCAAGUGGAGUUGACAUUGAGCUUGUGCCUGACGGGCCCGGAGAGUGCAUUGCCCAAACACCUUAUUUCCCUAAUAAAGUGGAAGGUGAAGUUUCAUCAAUUCUUUUUGAUUUUUCCAGUUUGAGCAAAAUUGACACAGAAAAUAUCAAGCUAGAAUAUGAUGAGAACCGAUCUGGUUCUGCAAGUGGAGUUGACAUUGAGCUUGUGCCUGACGAGCCCGGAGAGUGCAUUGUCCAAACACCUGAUUUCCCUAAUAAAGUGGACGGUGAAGUUUCAUCAAUUGUUUUUGAUUUUUCCAGUUUGAGCAAAGUCGACACAGAAAAUAUUAAGCUAGAAUAUGAUGAGAACCGAUCUGGUUCUGCAAGUGGAGUUGACAUUAAGCUUGUGCCUGACGAGCCAAGGGACGAAGCAGAAGUACUUAUGUCUUUAUCUGCUUGCCAUAAUAAAUUAGAAGACGAAUCUUCACCAAUUAUUUCUGAUUUUUCCAAUUUGAGCACAGUCGAAGCAAAAAACGCCAACUUGGAAGAUAAUGUGAACAGACCUAGUUCCGCAAGGGGAGUUGAAUUAGUGCCUGUGCCUGAGGACCCAAGGGAUAAAGCAGAAACAAUUGUGCCGCCCUGUAAGUUUGUAGAUGAAAUUCAGUUUCAAUUUAGUGAUACUACAAGUUUUUCUGACAGAAAGACUAUGGAUGGUAUAGUAGCUAAUGAAGCAGCAAUUGAACGAGUGCAUAAUGCAGCUGAUGGUGAUGCAGAUGAAGGAGUAAACGACAUUGAUCUCGAAAAUAAAUCAGAAAACAAUCCUGAUUUUUCAAGGCCCGAGAUUAUCCUUGUUCCUAUUCCUGGAAGUGGGUUGCAUCUAUCUGAUAAUAAUUUGGAGGCCAAAUCUGCACCAAAUAUCUGUUCUCACAUACAUGAUCUUGAAAGAUCUGAUAAUUUUCGAGUUAGUCACUCACUGUACAAUGGUAAGAAUGGUGAGGUUGAUCCAGUCAAGAGUAAAGACUCUGGCUUUCCAGAGCAGGAACUAGAAGGCACUAGUCAGUCAAAAGAAAAUAGUGCCCCAAGGGAUAAAGCAGAAACAAUCGUGCCGUCCUGUGAGUUUGUAGAUGAAAUUCAGUUUCAAUUUAGUGACACUACAAGUUUUGCUGAUAGAAAAACCCUGGAUGAUAUAAUAGCUAAUAAAACAGCAUGUGAAGAAGUGCAUGAUGAAGCUGAUGGUGAUGCAGAUGAAGAGGGAGGGAAUGAUACUGAUCUCGAAAAUGAAUCAAAAAAACAUUCUGAUUUGUCAAGGCCUGAGAUUAUCCUUAUUCCUAUUCCUGGAAGUGAGUUGCAUCUAUGUGAUAGUAAUCUGGAGGCCAAAUCUGCACCAAAUCUCUGUUCUCACGUAAACGAUCUUGAAAGCUCUGAUGGUUUUCAAGUAAGUCGCUCACUGUACAAUGGUGAGAAUAGUGGGGUUGAUCAAGUUGAGAGUAAGAACUCUGGUUUUUCAGAGCAGGAACUAGAAGGCACUAGUGUGUCAAAAGAAAAUAGUGGCCUGUGUGAGCUCAUCAACAGUCCAGUGCCUUAUAACAAGCACUCUGAUGACCUGAAAGACGAUUCAUUCAACCCUUUUGUGGAAUUAUCCCUAUGCAGGCACUUGUUAUCUGAAGGCAUGGGAGCAGAUGCUGCGUGCAAAACCUUUGAUGCUGAGAAGAUAACCUUAGAGAAGUUCCGUGCUAUGGAGCAGUCAUUGAUAAGAAACGACAAGCUAGUUGUUAGGAUUUCUGGCCGUUACUUUCCCUGGGAUGUAGCUGCACCUAUCGUACGGGGGAUGGUUUCUUUUAGAGAGGAACAGCUCUUUGAACACCAAGGUAUGAUAAAGGUGGAGCGAGUUGAGCCAAGCACAACACAAGGUGGCAGCUGGAGAAUUUGGCCAUUUAGUUUCAAAAGAACGAGGACUAUUAACAGCAUCCAGCCAGUUUGUGAGAGCACAGUCGUGAGUACUUUAUCCAUUCCUGUUAGAGAGUCGGAUGGAGAAAUAAAUAAACCCAGUGCAAAGAUGAUGGAGAGGAAGGUGCGAUCGCUCACUCCAACAUCUGAGGAGCUUGCGUCUCUUCAUCUCAGAGAGGGCAGGAACAUUGUGACAUUUACCUUCUCCACUGCUAUGCUUGGGACGCAGCAGGUAGAUGCUCACAUAUAUUUAUGGGAAUGGAAUGCACACAUUGUCAUAUCAGAUGUUGAUGGAACUAUCACCAAGUCUGAUGUUCUAGGUCAGUUCAUGCCAAUGGUUGGUGUUGAUUGGUCUCAAAAUGGAGUUGCUCAUUUAUUUUCUGCAAUAAAGGAAAAUGGAUAUCACCUGCUUUUUCUAAGUGCGCGCUCUAUUUCACAGGCCCACCUAACAAGGCAGUUUCUUUUCAACCUAAAGCAGGACGGAAAAGCACUUCCUGAUGGCCCUGUCGUGAUAUCUCCUGAUGGCCUCUUUCCAUCUUUGUACAGAGAAGUUAUCAGAAGAGCUCCUCAUGAAUUCAAGAUCUCAUGCCUAGCGGAUAUCAAAGCACUAUUUCCUCCUGACUCGCAUCCUUUCUAUGCGGGAUUUGGGAAUAGAGAUACUGAUGAGCUUAGUUACCUCAAGGUUGGGAUUCCCAUGGGCAAGAUCUUCAUAAUAAAUCCCAAGGGUGAAGUUGCUGUGAAUCGCAGGGUGAAUACCAAAUCAUACAUGUCCUUGCAUGCUCUUGUGAAUCGGGUGUUCCCUCCUCUAUCGUCACCACCGGAGCAGUCGCUGAUAUUUGAGGUGCAGUCUGGGCACAAUGCGCUAUGGCGCACAGCAAUGUCCAUAAGAAGGCGAAGGCAGAGGGGUAGUGCAGCGAGGCCAAUGAAUGGUUGGCGAAUGCUCCUAAUGCAAGAUGGACGGUGUGUAUAA
rnacentral:rRNA from 1 species